rnacentral:rRNA from 1 species
AUACGUAGGGUGCGAGCGUUGUCCGGAAUUACUGGGCGUAAAGAGCUCGUAGGUGGUUUGUCGCGUCGUCUGUGAAAUUCCGGGGCUUAACUCCGGGCGUGCAGGCGAUACGGGCAUAACUUGAGUACUGUAGGGGAGACUGGAAUUCCUGGUGUAGCGGUGAAAUGCGCAGAUAUCAAGAGGAACACCGGUGGCGAAGGCGGGUCCCUGGGCAGUAACUGACUCUGAGGAGCGAAAGAGUGGGUAGCGAACAGGAUUAGAUACCCUGGUAGUCCAUGCCGUAAACGGUGGGCGCUAGGUGUAGGGGUCUUCCACGACUUCUGUGCCGUAGCUAACGCAUUAAGCGCCCCGCCUGGGGAGUACGGCCGCAAGGCUAAAACUCAAAUGAAUGGACGGGG